rnacentral:rRNA from 1 species
GCUCGUAGAGCUUGGGUGGCGCAGCUAACGCAUUAAGUUAUCCGCCUGGGGAGUACGGUCGCAAGAUUAAAACUCAAAGGAAUUGACGGGGGCCUGCACAAGCGGUGGAGCAUGUGGUUUAAUUCGAAGCAACGCGCAGAACCUUACCAGCCUUUGACAUCCUAGGACGGUUUCUGGAGACAGACUCCUUCCCUUCGGGGACCUAGUGACAGGUGCUGCGUGGCUGUCGUCAGCUCGUGUCGUGAGAUGUUGGGUUAAGUCCCGCAACGAGCGCAACCCUCGUCCUUAGUUGCCAUCAUUUAGUUGGGCACUUUAAGGAAACUGCCGGUGAUAAGCCGGAGGAAGGUGGGGAUGACGUCAAGUCCUCAUGGCCCUUACAGGCUGGGCUACACACGUGCUACAAUGGCAUCUACAGUGGGCAGCUAUCCCGCAAGGGUGAGCUAAUCUCCAAAAGAUGUCUCAGUUCGGAUUGUCCUCUGCAACUCGAGGGCAUGAAGGCGGAAUCGCUAGUAAUCGCGGAUCAGCAUGCCGCGGUGAAUACGUUCCCAGGCCUUGUACACACCGCCCGUCACACCAUAGGAGUUGGAUUCACCCGAAGGCAGUGCGCUAACCGCAAGGAGGCAGCUGA